rnacentral:rRNA from 1 species
UACCCCCGCCCCGCCCCCCGCGCGCGGCGGGCGGGGCGGGGGCACGGGGGGCCUACGGGAGGCAGCAGUGGGGAAUAUUGCACAAUGGGCGCAAGCCUGAUGCAGCCAUGCCGCGUGUAUGAAGAAGGCCUUCGGGUUGUAAAGUACUUUCAGCGAGGAGGAAGGCAUUAAGGUUAAUAACCUUAGUGAUGACG